rnacentral:rRNA from 1 species
GUCCAUGCCGUAAACGGUGUAUACUUGAUGUAACUGGGCUCAACCCCGGUUGUGUCGAAGCUAACGCGAUAAGUAUACCGCCUGAGGAGUACGCUCGCAAGGGUGAAACUCAAAAGAAUUGACGGGGGCCCGCACAAGCAGUGGAGCAUGUGGUUUAAUUCGAUGCAACGCGAAGAACCUUACCCAGGUUUGAAAUACAGAGGACAGUCCCAGAGAUGGGAUCUCCCGCAAGGGCCUCUGAACAGGUGCUGCAUGGCUGUCGU